UCCUACGGGAGGCAGCAGUGGGGAAUUUUGGACAAUGGGGGCAACCCUGAUCCAGCCAUUCCGCGUGAGUGAAGAAGGCCUUCGGGUUGUAAAACUCUUUCAGCAGGAACGAAACGGUGAGCUCUAACAUAGCUUAUUAAUGACGGUACCUGAAGAAGAAGCACCGGCUAACUACGUGCCAGCAGCCGCGGUAAUACGUAGGGUGCGAGCGUUAAUCAGGAUUACUGGGCGUAAAGCGUGCGCAGGCGGUUAUGUAAGACAGAUGUGAAAUCCCCGGGCUUAACCUGGGAACUGCGUUUGUGACUGCAUAACUCGAGUGUGG
rnacentral:rRNA from 1 species